UGAAUCAACGAACGAAGAAGCGACCAAAAAUGCACACUUCACUCAAACUGAAUAGAAAUUGUGUGCGAUGAUCAUAACCAAUAGCUUCUCUAGCAACCAAACGUCGUUUUGACUCAGUCAAAAUAACACCUUCUUAUUUUGACAAAUGUUACUAUGACUUUUUUUGUAAUGGAGUUGCCGUGCCGCGCUCUUUACUAAAGCAAUAUCGACUUCACACGAAAAACACAAAUUUUAAACUUCGUUCUAUUUUUGCACACCAAAAUGACGGAGCAACACACAAAAAAAGACUUCAAAAUCACAAAUUAUUCAUCUUCGAACGCCGAAAUGGUAACAGGAGACGUAAAAUUUUCAACACAAAAUAGGACAUCGCUGCUCAUACUUCAUUUAAUUUAUUUUUAAAAGUGUACAAUUUUCUAUCAUAGAAUACGCUGUACAGUUUUACCACCUUAAUUUUCCUAGUUUGGGUGCUAGAGAGGGUAUUGUCAUAACGACUUGUCAAAUUUCAAUAGAGUUGAACUUCUAAAAUGUCAAAAUUAUUGCUGUGCUCGAUCUUCGUGACGUACCUUACCCUGAGCCAGUGUGACGAAAAUGGCUACUGUACGUCAGCUGCUGAACAGUUGAUGUGCUUCAAAACUACUCAAGACCACACGAAAAAGGGCGAUGCGCUGACGACUGUACAGGGUCAGCCCAUUGGUGACAUUUCUAAUUCAAAGACGGUCGGAAAACGGGGACCUGUACUCCUGGAAGAUGCUCUUCUACUCAAGGAGACAGCUCAAUUCAACCGAGAGCGAAUACCCGCACGUGUCGUUCAUGCUAAGGGUGCCGGUGCCCAUGGUCAAUUGUCAAUUUGCUCUAAUUUUCUGGAAAAGUAUUCGAAAGCCGUGGUAUUUCGAAACGGAUCAUCCAAUCCGGUGUUUGUUCGGUUUUCUCAAGCGACUAGUGAACCCGGAACACCGGACACUGUGCCCAAUCUUCGUGGAUUCGCAGUGAAAGUUAAGACUGAUGAAGGCAUUUGGGACCUGGUUGGGAAUAAUAUGCCAGUUUUCAUAGGUCGUGACGGACGACUAUUCACGUCGAUUACUCAUGCGUCGUUGAAGAAUCCACGAACCCAUUUACUUGACCUGAAUAUGUUUUGGGAUUUACUAUCGCUUCGUAAUGAAUCUACGCUUUUUGUUCUCUAUUCACACAGCGAUCUCUCUACACCCAAAUCAUACCGUCACAUGUCCGGUUUCGGUGUUCACACUUUUAGACUGGUGAACGACGAAGGAGACCAUUUUUUCGCCCGGUUCAAUUGGAAAACCGAUCAGGGAAUAAAGAACCUGACGAUGCAGGAAGCACUCAAAUUAACCGCACAAAAUGCGGAUUAUUACGUACAAGACCUGUACGAAGCCAUAGCUCAAGGCAAGUACCCAACAUGGACGCUACUCAGUGUUUCCUCGUGCCAAUGUAUCUGUCACGUUUAUUAUCCGCACCGUUUUAUUGUGUAAAUAGCAGAAUGGACUUAGUCGAUUUUUCAGACAUUUCGAUCGAAAGCAUUCUUGCUGAAAAGUAAAUAUUACGAGAAUUGAAUGAAGAAUUGGUGAUGCGAUUGCUUGCGUGUGCGUAUGGUUAUGUAUGUGUGCCGAUAAGUGAAAUUCAAGCGAAUUUUCUGUCCCGAAACUAAACAAUAACACCAAAAUGAAACCAACGAAAAGUAAAAAGAAACCCAUAUCCGAAACCAAGCCCAGCUCCUCAAUUCAUAAUUAUUUCAAAACUGGUCCCAAUGAAUCUUCACGGGCGCCUAACGUAAAAUCAGUGUACGUUGAUGCGGUACUGAAUAAAUUGAAAAGCUUCGAUGACGAACGUGUGACAAAGAACGACAACAACACAGAUCGCGAAAAUGGUGCAGCUGCAUCGACGACGACACCACCAACGAAAACUACACGAGAGGAAAACAACAAAUCAAAUCGGCAAGAUAUCUGUCAAGCACCAGACGACACAAACGGAUGCAGUGAUUGUGAAAAUUGGCGGAAGAAGUACAAGGAGAUGGAGAAACGGUUCCUCAAACUGAGUGUUUGUCACUCCGAAUUAACAAUGAAGCACAAAGAUCUGGUCCGUCUUUUAACAACUAACGCUGGUUCGAGUGAUGUAACGGAACAGUUUAUCGAUCGACACAUAUCCGAAGAUCUGGACCUGGUGUCGACGGGUACCGCACGAGCUCAUAGCGACACCGAUUCGUUUGUCGAUCAACACACAUCCGCAGAUCUAGCUCCAGUGGCAACAGGUCAGAACUCAAGCUCCAUAUUCAAAAUAUCUUCGGCAUCCGCAGUGGGCACUGACAUUUUCACGGAUGAUGAAAUCACAAAUCUGAAAAAAAUUGCCCUCACCAAGAACAGAGAUUCGACAUUCAUACUCAGCUGCGUGCAAUAUGCCUACAAAGAAAAUUUAGCAUCACUAACAAGCAAAACUCUGAAAGGAACCAGAGGCAAGUACGAAGUUAAAGAGGGUAAAGUGAUAACUGUCAAGCCUCCAAAAGAUCCGUUAACCCCCGAGAAGGUUGCUCGGAUACAACAACUUUUCAUCGAUCGAAUAGCCAGAUGCAAAUGUGUUGCUACCGAAUCAGGAGAACGAGUUAACCAGCUAAGAUUCAAUGAACUUAUCGCGAAUGCUGUAAGAACCGUGACGAACAAACAGGCACCCCAAGAAGUGCGAUCAAAUCAGAACGCGGAUCUGAAUUUGUAAUUUAAAUCGAAUUUGUAUUCGAUUUUAUCGAAAUGAA